GUAGAAGUCCAGAAGGAGAGGGGUUGACAGGGCUGAGGCCCGCUGGCUGCCGCGAAGGUAUUCUAGUAACUUCCUCCAGCCCCCAGCCUCCGACAGGACGGCCGGGCGAGGAAUGCGGUCAGAGCCCUGCCUCUCGGUCAGCGGAGACGGGCUAUCGCUGCCCUGGCAGCUGUUCAAGUGUCGAUCCAUUUCAAAGGCCUUUUGUUAAACUUCUAACGGCCAAAAGGACAGCCCGAAGCCGCGCACAGGCAAGGCCUGGCGAUUCCAGUGACCUGGAAGAGGAUCAAGCUCCCGCCGACGCCCGAGGGCCCAGAGCCGGGCCAUCGGCCUAAUAAAUCAGGGCACCCGACUGAAGGGGCCGCAGUGACCACGCAGAGGCCCCCUCUCGCCUGUGGGGGUUCGUGAAAGGCACAUGCAGGCGGGCAGAGCGGGACGGCGACGGGAGGCUUCGCAGAGAUGCCAGCCAGAAACGAUGAAAACACGGAGGGGAAGAGGCCGUUUCUGCAGUUUCCCAACUGCGCCGGUCCUGGGAGCGGCCUCCCAUAACGAGCAGCAGCCCUGGCCCGGCCUGAAAGGCGAACAUGCCCAGCGUCUGGCCUCCGCCGCGCAGCCCCAGCUCCCUGCCUGACACACACAUGGUCGCGCCCCGCCGACGAUUUGAAAGGUCGCAUUUUGCCCCUGUUACAACUCCCCCUCUUCUCAUUAAAAAAAAAAAAGAAAUAAUAAAAUACAAACUCGC
ensembl:lncRNA